GAGCGGAGACAGUGAGUAGCUUGCUAUGAGCUGUUUUAGCGGCGGACGGGUGAGUAACGCGUGAGCAACCUUUCCCAGACAGGGGAAUAACACACCGAAAGGUGUACUAAUACCGCAUAAGACCACGGGAUCACAUGGUUCUGAGGUAAAAGAUUUAUCGGUUUGGGGUGGGCUCGCGUCCGAUUAGGUAGUUGGUGAGGUAACGGCCCACCAAGCCGACGAUCGGUAGCCGACCUGAGAGGGUGAUCGGCCACAUUGGGACUGAGACACGGCCCAAACUCCUACGGGAGGCAGCAGUGGGGAAUAUUGGGCAAUGGAGGAAACUCUGACCCAGCAACGCCGCGUGGAGGGAGAAGGUUUUCGGAUCGUAAACUCCUGUCCUUGGGGACGAGUAGAAGACGGUAUCCAAGGAGGAAGCCCCGGCUAACUACGUGCCAGCAGCCGCGGUAAUACGUAGGGGGCAAGCGUUGUCCGGAAUAAUUGGGCGUAAAGGGCGCGUAGGCGGCUCGGUAAGUCUGGAGUGAAAGUCCUGCUUUUAAGGUGGGAAUUGCUUUGGAUACUGUCGGGCUUGAGUGCAGGAGAGGUUAGUGGAAUUCCCAGUGUAGCGGUGAAAUGCGUAGAGAUUGGGAGGAACACCAGUGGCGAAGGCGACUAACUGGACUGUAACUGACGC
rnacentral:rRNA from 1 species